AAAUUGAAGAGUUUGAUCAUGGCUCAGAUUGAACGCUGGCGGCAGGCCUAACACAUGCAAGUCGAACGGUAGCACAGAGGAGCUU
rnacentral:rRNA from 1 species